rnacentral:rRNA from 1 species
GUAUGGGGAUCUGCCCGAUAGAGGGGGAUAACUACUGGAAACGGUGGCUAAUACCGCAUAAUGUCUACGGACCAAAGCAGGGGCUCUUCGGACCUUGCACUAUCGGAUGAACCCAUAUGUGAUUAGCUAGUAGGUGGGGUAAAGGCUCACCUAGGCGACGAUCUCUAGCUGGUCUGAGAGGAUGAUCAGCCACACUGGGACUGAGACACGGCCCAG